UUGCUGUGAUGAUAACUUAUGAAUUUGAGAGCAUUCAUUUGCUCAAAGAAAAGGGAAAAUAAUAAUUCCUGUGCGGUUAGCUGAGCAA